rnacentral:antisense_RNA from 1 species
GACUGAUCACUUAUCACGUACAGUGAAGUGGGGGAGAAACAGGGAAUUCAAGGCGGCUUACUCCUCCCGCUUGGCAGAACACGAUGUCCGGUCACCUCUCUGACCAGAGCGAGGCCGUACACUCAUUCUGGCAGACACAUUAACUGGCCAGUUUCUUCACUCUCCUUAUAGUCAUCCUCUAGCUGCCUUGCUAAUCCCGGGAAGUAAGCAUAUGUCCCGACCCAGCCAUUUUACACGUUAUACAACACUGGAUUUCUGGCGCUGAGAAAACGGGGGCGGAAGGGGGAAACACAGACGAGCUUUCAUCACAGCGGAGUAGUCCCAGAUCCGCACCGCGCUCUCCACAAAUGGCUACGCCAGCUACGUAACCCGGAUAGUCAGCGGCGGCUUCCGCAGAUGACUGACCGCUCGCGGUUCCUCUAAAAUCUGCCUGUGUUUGCUCUUUUUAUAUGUUUCUCCCUCUUCUUGCCCAUCUUCCCUUUGUUUUUCCUUUUCCCCGCUGGAGUUUCUUCUUUCUGCUUCUGUAUAGAAGAGGGCUUUGUGUUGCAUUCUGAGACCUGUGUCGGAGCAGCCUCUGUAGUUUUAGCCGCCAGGAUUGC